GAGAGGACACAACAAAGCCUUCUCCGCCUCCGAGGCGGACCCGACCCUCAGCACUGCAGGCCGAGCCGAGGAGGGCGCCCGGGCGGAGGGGAGGCGGGCGAGGCGCUGCCGGCGGAUGCAGCUUUCACGGACAGCGCUGCUGCAGAGCCUUUUGUGGGCGUCUUCACUUCUCUUGAGUGUGAUACCUAGGACUGGAACUGCGAAACAUAGGGCUGGACGAGCUUCAUGGUAUUAGAAACUGCCUGCUUUCCAAGGUGAUGCACACCGUUCGGCACUCCCACCAGCCCUGUUGGAGCCUCCAGUUGCUCCACGCCCUGGCGUGGGCUCACUCCCUGAGCCUGCUGUGGGGCCUCCACCUGCUGCCCUCACUUCUACCUGGGCUGUCUAGACUCUUGCUUCUUUUAUAAAAGGUCAGAGGAUGUCACUCACCCUUUAACAUCCUCCCAAUAAAAGCCAAGUUCCUUUCAGUGGCCCGCAGAGUCCGACGUGACCUGCCCUGCUCUAAGCAAAUUCUGCCCCGUCCCUGCUCCUCCUCGGCAGCCCUAUGGCCUCUGGCUUUCCCCGGGCCUCACUUCAUUUUCCUCCACAGCCGGCAUCGCAGCAUGACAUACUAUGGGGUCGUUUGUGUGCCUGUUGCCUGCCUCCCCUCUCGGAAUGUAGCCUUCACGAGGACAGGGGCUUGUUUCCUGCACGCUCUUCACUCAGGCUUCGCACUUCCGGGGUUAAGCAAAUGGAAGAUCCUGUGAGCAGGGAAACGGUCAGACGGCGUUAGGGGCUGGUGCCCUGCAGAGGACGAAAGGGAAACUUCAUGGGCUGAGGCCAGGUCAUCUGCAGGGUGGUGUUCAAAUUCAUGGUGCAAAGUCAGCAGGCGCCCAGAUGGGAAAAGAGAGGUCUGGGUCACUUGCGACCCUCCUCUCAGGCUGCUUCUGACAGGCCCAGGUCACAGCCAGCUUCAGGGGAGCUGUGUUGGGUCCUUCCGAACUCCUGGAAUGAUGUGACCUCUCCGGCUCUGGCCCAGGCCCAGGCCCCGGGCCUCCAGGUCAGACUCGGCCCAGACCCCGGUUCACAGGGAAGCAGAGCCUGGGGCUGGCCUCCACCCGCUCAGACGCCCGCACACAGGCCAGGGGAGGGGCUUGGGGACAGCUCUAGGAGGGUCCCUGUUUGCGCUGUAGGUGUCCAAGGCGGGGUGUGCAGAGUCGAGGUUGCCGCACACCUGAGGGACUCUCGUGUGAGGACAGCGCAGGGCUGGAAGCUGGACUGCGGAAGGCGAAUGAGACCGCACUGCUGGCUCCCUCCAAGCCACGGACUGGCUCCUGUGCAGUCUCGGGCGAGUGUGCUGUUGUCAUGUGCGUGUUUUAACUGAGAUGUGAGCUGGCACGUUUUCUCCACCCAGCUCCAUCCUGGGUCGCCCCACGUUGCUGCACCUGUGGCUCCGGUGCCCUGGGGUCCCCACUGUGGGCGGCCCCGCAUUUCGCCCACCUGCUUCCCAAAAUAUGGAAUCCCAGUGACCUCCAACUUGUCGCCAUGACAAACCACUCUCAUUCAUAUCCUCAAACACGGUGCUCUGAGCCUAAAUGAGGGUUUCCUUAGAGAGAGAUCUGGGGACCGAACCGUAGGGACAGAGCUCCUGUCUAAGCUGGGCCUGUGGUGAGGUCUUCCCGGCGGUACACUUUAAUCCCACAGCAGGGCUUGCUGGCCACCCUGCUGCAUCCCCGCCAACACCGGGCAGGAUCUAGCCUCCAAAGCUUUGCCAGUCUAAUAGUAUAAAACGAUACCUCGGUGUUAUUUUGGUUUUGCAUUUCCAUGGUGAACAAUGAGUUUGAGCAUUUUUGUUCAAAAGUCCUUUGGGAGUUCAAGACCAGACUGGGCCACCGGGAGUUCAAGA